UAAACUGAAGAUUCGAUAUGAACUCGCAAGAGUUCUUGAAAAUCUAUUACCAAUGACGAUCGCCCACAUUAUUGAGUUUA
rnacentral:misc_RNA from 1 species